AAUGAUUCCCUCAGUAACGGCGAGCGAAGAGGGAUAAGCUCAAAUUUUAAAUCUGUUGGGUUCCACUUAACAGAGUUGUAUUUUGAAGAAACGUUUUCUGCAUCCAGGAUUAGCCUAAAUCCUUUGGGAUAAGGUAUCAUGGAGGGUGAGAAUCCCGUUCAUGGUUAAUCUUAAGGAAGCUCUACGAUACGUUUUCCAAGAGUCGAGUUGUUUGGGAUUGCAGCUCAAAAUGGGAGGUAAAUUUCUCCUAAGGCUAAAUAUUGGCGAGAGACCGAUAGCGAACAAGUACCGUGAGGGAAAGAUGAGAAGAACUUUGAAAAGAGAGUUAAACAGUACGUGAAAUUGUUGAAAGGGAAACGAUUGAAG
rnacentral:rRNA from 1 species